rnacentral:rRNA from 1 species
AUGGCAGCACUGGCAGGUCAGAGGCUUCCUCCUAUAAACACAGGACAAAGAGGUGCUCCUCCAGGCUUCAGUAGACCCAAUUUCCAAGAUCUGUUAUCUGAAGGUCCAAGUCCAACAGGUCAAAUGAAAAAUGCCCACACUUCUCUGUUUCCUCCUGUCCCACAGCAAAAUGCUACUGAUGCAUGGGCAGAUUACAGCAAGUCUUAUGAAAAAGAAAUGAGAACUCAGUUUCUAAAAUCCAUUACCAAAGGACCAAAAAUGGACUUUCCUCGAUUUGAUGGUGAAAAUCCAAGUGGAUGGAUCAGGCAAUGUGAGAAAUACUUCCAAAUGGCUGGGGCACCUAAUGAUUACAAAGUAUCACUGGCACAAAUGUACAUGGUGGGGAAGAAGAUUACUUGGCCUCAACUCUGCGAACAAGUUCUCCACAGGUUUCCCCCCACUAGUUCUUAUGAUCUCACUGAGAGAUUCAACUCACUGAAACAGAAAAACCUAAGUAUCAAUGAAUACACAGAUCUCUUUGAAGACCUCAUGGCAGAACUACAAUUGGACAACCCUACCCUCUCUGAACAGUGGUUUGUUAAAUGUUAUGUCAAUGGAAUGAGAUCUGCAAUCAAGUUUCAGUUUAGACCCUUAAGACCACCUACCUUAACUGAAGCUUACUGGUUGGCAAUUGACAUGGAACAGUGUGCUCCUCCAAGGAAAUCACACCACCAAAAUACCCUACCUAACUCCAAAUCUCCUUACAAUGCUUACAAAUCUAGUGCUGCUGAUAGCAAGACUAUGGAUAAGCAAACUGGACAUACACAAAGAGCUAGAGAACCAGGAAAGUGUUGGAGAUGUGGGGAUGCUUGGUUUCAUGGUCACAAAUGCAAACAAGCUCCUGUCAUAAAUGUCCUAACAGGAGAAGAACCUACUGAAAAUGCUGAUGAGCCAGACUCAGUAUCUGAAGAUGAGCAAGAAGAAUCUACUAAGGAAGAGGACAAAUGCAUGAAAAUAUCCCAACAAGCAUUAAAUCCUGAGGGAGCUAAAACAAUGUCUGUCCUGGUUAAAAUUGGUGGAAAAACAACUGUGGCCCUAGUUGACACUGGCAGUAAUUCUACUUUCAUGAACAUCCACUUUGCCUUGCAGACUUCCUGCACAAUUCUAUAG